GGUUAAACGACUAAGCGUACACGGUGGAUGCCCUGGCAGUCAGAGGCGAUGAAGGACGUGCUAAUCUGCGAUAAGCGUCGGUAAGGUGAUAUGAACCGUUAUAACCGGCGAUUUCCGAAUGGGGAAACCCAGUGUGAUUCGUCACACUAUCAU
rnacentral:rRNA from 1 species